CCAGUGACAUCACGUUCAACGGCCGCGGUAUCCUAACCGUGCGAAGGUAGCGCAAUCAAUUGUCCCAUAAAUUGAGACUUGUAUGAAUGGCCAAACGAGGUCUUAACUGUCUCCUCCAGAUAAUCAGUGAAAUUGAUCUUCCUGUGCAAAAGCAGGAAUAACAGCAUAAGACAAGAAGACCCUGUGGAACUUCAAAAUCAGCAGUCACCUUCACACACUCCACUCCAACUGGAUACCACUCUCCACCCGAAUAACACUGACCUGCAUUUUUUGGUUGGGGCGACCUUGGAGAAAAACAAACCCUCCAAAUACAAGACUAACCCUCUUGACCAAGAACAACCAAUCAACGUACUCACAGUAACCAGACCCAAUAUAAUUGAUCAAUGGACCAAGCUACCCCAGGGAUAACAGCGCAAUCUCCUUCAAGAGCCCCCAUCGACAAGGAGGUUUACGACCUCGAUGUUGGAUCAGGACAUCCUAGUG
rnacentral:rRNA from 1 species